rnacentral:tRNA from 9 species
GCGGGCGUCGUAUAAUGGCCAUUACCCCAGCUUCCCAAGCUGGAGACGUGGGUUCGAUUCCCAUCGCCCGCUCCA